rnacentral:lncRNA from 1 species
AUGUGCUGUAGCAACCAGGGAGGGAGGAGGAGGCACCAUUGCCAGGCAUCAGAACUAUCUGCCACGGUACUAGAUGAAUUUGAGUUACUUUCAGGGUCGCUGUUUUCCUGGUGUCUGGAUUCCAGGUCCAGGGAGGCUGUGUUUUGCUGCCAGUCUCUACUCUGCUGGUCUGGAAGCAGCAACCUCUCCACCCUGAACCCUGGUGUCCUGUAUGACAAGGGUAUCGGCCAUUGCACUAAUGAAAACAUGAAUAUAAAUAUAAUUGUAUUUACUGAAAGGAACUGUGCCCUGUACACUACUGUUACCUCAUUAACAGAAAACACAAUAUAUGUUAGUGAAAUUUCCACAUCAAAUCAACUUCAUUCUCUGUAAUAGCUGCAUAUUAUUCUACUUCAUUAUAUUGUUUCUAGUUCUUUUCUAUUGAAAGCAAUAUUACAAUAAAUAACCCUAUGUAAGAUGGGCACAAUGGCACAUACCUAUACUCCCAACUGUUGUGGAUGCUGAGACAGGAGGAUUGCUUAAGUGCAGGAGUUCAAAACCAACUUGGGUAACAUAGUAGGAUCCCAUCUUGAAAAAAUUAAUAAAAUGAGAAAAAGAAAUAUAUCUUUGUACAUUUAUGGAAUUGGACUCUGUCUUCGUUACUUUUUGUAGCAGACACCUCUGCCCAGUAUUAGCAGGUGAUAGUGGCACAAGCUUUUUGCCCCUCUAUAAUUUGGCUGUAUUGUCUUAGGAGUCUGAGCGAAGCUUUAUGUGACUCAAAUGGACAUGUCGGAUAGCAGAAUUGGGCUAGUAUUGCUCCUUUGCUAAUGUCUGCUACUGAGACUUAAAUCCUAGUGCUGAAGUAGCAGGGCUCGGCUGAGUUCACUUCCAGCCAAGCUCAACUGACUUCAACUAAAUUAUUCCCCUCUGAAUUAACCAUUUGUUCUCUUCUGCAAAACAUAUGCUAGAGCCCUCCUGCUUAUGAUACUUGCUAUCAGCAUGUGUCCCGAGGCCUGUCCAGCUUCCCUCCUUCCCACACUCGUAAUAAAUAAACACUGGAUGGCCUUGGAGUCCUUUGUUUUUGCUGCCCAGAGCAGCUUGGAUCAACCAAAGACUCAGUUUGUUUCAAGACUCAGUCUCCGUGACUUUAUUCCCACUUUCCUCUCUCUCAGGCAUUGUACUGGCUCGCAGAAGAUCGAGACCCGUGGCCAGGGUUUUCAAUAAUGUCUCUUACAACUUUUUUCUCAUUGCUGAGACAAAAUACCUGACACCAAAGGUUAAAGGAGGAAAGGUUUAUGGUAGCUCACAGUUUGUAGAGGUUUCAGUCCACAGUUAGCUGGCUCUAAGGCAGAGUGGGACAUGGCAGAAGAGAAACGGUUCAUGGACGGCGGCAAAGCAGUGAAGUAGUGAAGCAGCAAGUGACAACAGUGACCCUCUUUCUGUCCCUUAUAUUCUAUCCAGGCUACACACCCUUAGGGCAGGUAGCACUCACAUCCAUGGUGGAUCUUCCCCUUAUCCACACUCAGAACUGUGCCAAACCAGUCAGUGGAGUAAUUUAGUAAAAAAACACCCAGCAUCACACACUCUAGAUCCAGCCACCUCUGAAAAGCCCCAUCUGUGACCGUGCGAGGCUUUGGAGGGACAGCUAGUUACAGUCAUAACAAACUCAGAACUCCUAGAAGUUAAAUAGCUGAAUUAAAGGUAUGCACACUUUAUCAAGUAGCACAUGAUAGAGCAUGUGACAGAGUGCCUGCUAACAUGCAAAAGGCCUUGGGUCUAAACGCCAUCGCCUAAAAAAGAAAAAGAUGUGUUUGUUACCAGCUAACAUGGAUCCUUGCUAUAGUGAUAAUAAAAAUUAAAACUAAAGCAUGAAUUUGCAAAAACAAAAACUUUAAUUA